rnacentral:rRNA from 1 species
UGGGGAAUUUUGCGCAAUGGGGGAAACCCUGACGCAGCAACGCCGCGUGCGGGAUGACGGCCUUCGGGUUGUAAACCGCUUUCAGUAGGGACGAAUUUUGACGGUACCUACAGAAGAAGCCCCGGCUAACUACGUGCC